rnacentral:rRNA from 1 species
AGAGCGAACGCUGGCGGCAGGCCUAAUACAUGCAAGUCGAACGGAUCCUUCGGGAUUAGUGGCGGACGGGUGAGUAACACGUGGGAACGUACCCUUUGAUUCGGAACAACUCAGGGAAACUUGAGCUAAUACCGAAUGUGCCCUUCGGGGAAAAGAUUUAUCGCCAUUGGAGCGGCCCGCGUCUGAUUAGCUAGUUGGUAGGGUAAAGGCCUACCAAGGCUACGAUCAGUAGCUGGUCUGAGAGGAUGAUCAGCCACACUGGGACUGAGACACGGCCCAGACUCCUACGGGAGGCAGCAGUAGGGAAUCUUGCGCAAUGGGCGAAAGCCUGACGCAGCCAUGCCGCGUGAAUGAUGAAGGUCUUAGGAUUGUAAAAUUCUUUCAGCGGGGACGAUAAUGACGGUACCGCAGAAGAGCCCGGCUAACUCGCGCCAGCAGCCGC